AAUCCUCAUUAAACUUGUGAAGACACUGGGUUUUUAAAAGGCUGUGUGGGCUGUGUGGAAGAAUAAAGAGAAGACCACACUCCACAGUGGACUAUACCACUUAGUAUAGUUCACUACUAUUUUGUGCCCUACACU